UUCCUACGGGAGGCAGCAGUGAGGAAUAUUGGACAAUGGGUGCAAGCCUGAUCCAGCCAUCCCGCGUGAAGGAUUAAGGUCCUAUGGAUUGUAAACUUCUUUUAUACAGGGAUAAACCUCUCCUCGUGAGGAGAGCUGAAGGUACUGUAUGAAUAAGCACCGGCUAACUCCGUGCCAGCAGCCGCGGUAAUACGGAGGGUGCAAGCGUUAUCCGGAUUUAUUGGGUUUAAAGGGUCCGUAGGCGGACCUGUAAGUCAGUGGUGAAAUCCUACAGCUUAACUGUAGAACUGCCAUUGAUACUGCGGGUCUUGAGUGUAGUUGAGGUAGCUGGAAUAAGUAGUGUAGCGGUGAAAUGCAUAGAUAUUACUUAGAACACCAAUUGCGAAGGCAGGUUACCAAGUUACAACUGACGCUGAUGGACGAAAGCGUGGGUAGCGAACAGGAUUAGAUACCCUGGUAGUCCACGCUGUAAACGAUGCUAACUCGUUUUUGGAUUUUCGGAUUCAGAGACCAAGCGAAAGUGAUAAGUUAGCCACCUGGGGAGUACGUUCGCAAGAAUGAAACUCAAAGGAAUUGACGGAA
rnacentral:rRNA from 1 species